AUUGAACGCUGGCGGCAGGCCUAACACAUGCAAGUCGAACGAGUGGCGGACGGGUGAGUAAUGUCUGGGAAACUGCCUGAUGGAGGGGGAUAACUACUGGAAACGGUAGCUAAUACCGCAUACCAUCAGAUGUGCCCAGAUGGGAUUAGCUUGUUGGUGGGGUAACGGCUCACCAAGGCGACGAUCCCUAGCGGGUCUGAGAGGAUGACCAGACACACUGGAACUGAGACACGGUCCAGACUCCAACGGGAGGCAGAAGACGGGAAUAUUGCACCAUGGGCGCAAGGCUGAUGCAGCCAUGCCGCGUGUAUGAAUGAGGCCUUCGGGUUGUAAAGUACUUUCCGCGGAGAGGCGUUACCCGCAGAAGAAGCCCCGGCUAACUCCGUACCAGCCGCCGCGGUAAUAC
rnacentral:rRNA from 1 species